rnacentral:lncRNA from 1 species
UUCCCCUGCUGGUCACUUUCCAGGAACUGUGAUGAAGAAAGACAGAUUUGUGAAGUAGCAAACACAGAUGUCUGUGACCUGGACAUGCCAGUUACCAACAAAAAACAGGAAUAAUCUUUCUAAGGUGCUAGCCAGAGCCUAAGAGUUCCUCCUCUAGUACUUGGGUUUUCUUACUCUUCCCACCAUGCAGCUGCUUGUCCGGCGUGUGGCUGACCUCCAUGUUGGAUUGAUUCAGAUGGCAUGACUGGCCUCUCCCCCUUCCCUUCCAAGUCUCCUCUUCUGAGUAGCCGGCAAGAUCUGCAGCUUGUAUGGGAUUUUACUUUUAAACUCUAAUAAAAUUCCCUUGGGCUGCUAACAAUAAAAUGAAAAUAAUAUUCUCCCC